UUGAGAACAUUGGCAAAAAUCUAGGCGUACAAUUUCGGCAUAUUUAUCAACAGUCGAUUUUUCAUUGGUGGACUGGUUUAUCAUAUACGGUCAUUUCUUCUCCAAUUUAAGCGUCAAAAUGUUGCGGUGACAAUAUCGCUGUCAUUGAAAUGAUAUUGACGAUUUUCUUUUCAAUGACACACGUCACAUGAGAGCAGAGUUGACCUCUUAUCAGUUUCUACCAAAUCUUAUAUUACAGUCGACUAGUUUUACGGCAGGAAAAACUGAAGAGGGGCGCUUGUUUGCACGAAUCAAAACAGCGAGGAACUAAACCUGGUUUGUAAACACACGACGAGGACACAGCUUGUCGAAACAAGGUUUAUUUAAAAGAACCUCUUCAAUGUAUCUUUUGUAAGGAAUGAGGUCAGUAAAUCUGUGAUUGUCUCACCGAUAGGAACAGAAGCCACAGUUAAAGACGCCUCACGGAAAAAAGAAAAUUUGAACGGAAACUUGAACUGUAAAAUGUCGGAAUUUUUCAGCUGUAAUGACAGCACAGGACGUUACGUCUUCAAUAUUGUGUUUUUUUCGCUCAUUGGCGCAGCGAUCAUCGUACUUCUCGUACUGGGUGCCUACUUGCUCUAUAGACGACACAAGAAAGCUCAAAAGAGAAGACUGCUUUCAAGAAGUCGUGCAAUUACCAUGAACACAAAUAGCACAAUUUUAUCAAGGACUAGCGGGGGCGGUGAGAACAGUCAACUUGCGAGUAAUUUUAUCCUGGGCCGGCCACCUGCCACUGAUGUAAUUCUGGGUGUUUACGGUGACGAAAUCUCCAAGAAUGCCAGGGCUGCAUUUUAUGAAGAGAAAAGCUGGAGAGGAUUUGCUUACUGAAAACUUAUCGAGUGUUUUGAAGGCGCACUUUCAUGGCACGAGUCCAGGUUCAUUUUAAUGGGGCGAUUUCCUCGUUUUAGUUGGCAUCUGAGCUGCGUUUUAAACAGCGAAUUAGCAUUUAUUGGCCGAUUUACGCACUUUGAGUGUGAAACAAUACGGCUUAAAACGCUCUCGUGACUUAAUGGCCGUUAACCUACGUUUUUCGCCAGAACGGCUCAAAGAAGCAUUGAGAGAUUCUUGAGAGUUAAAAAGACGUCUCAGCGACUUCUUAUCGUUAUUGUCCACGGAUAGGAAUAUAUUUUAGAAAAAAGCGCCUUUUGUACUAGAGUGCUUCUACUGCAUUUACAUAUGACUUAAUUGUAGCCGGUUUUUGUCUCCGGUCAAAUUGUCACGAAAAGAACACAUACCUCUUUGCUGAAGGAAAUAAACUUCGUGUAAGGAAAUGAAUUCUCCCUAUGAAAUACUUCCUAUUGUAGAGAAAUUUUUAACUUCUCUUCAUUUUAUUAAACUUAGUGAGAAGUCGGAUUUCGCUUGAGUUUAGCUAUAAGGAGUUAGUUGCGAGUGGAAUUAGUGCACUCUAAAACUGGUCUAUAUAAUUAUUUUGAAAAGUCACGCUGUUUGAUAAGCUCAGAAUGUAAAAUAUAUUAGUUGCUCCUGUCCGA